rnacentral:rRNA from 1 species
CCUACGGUGUGCAGCAGUGAGGAAUAUUGGUCAAUGGGCGCGAGCCUGAACCAGCCAAGUAGCGUGAAGGAUGACUUCCCUACGGGUUGUAAACGUCUUUUAUAAAGGACUAAAGUGAGGCACGUGUGCCUUUUUGUAUGUACUUUAUGAAUAAGGAUCGGCUAACUCCGUGCCAGCAGCAGCGGUAAUACGGAGGAUCCGAUCGUUAGCCGGAUUUAUUGGGUUUACAGGGAGCGUAGAUGGGUUGUUAAGUCAGUUGUGAAAGUUUGAGGAUCAACCGUAAAAUUGCAAUUGCUACUGGCAGCCUUGAGUACAGUAGAGGUAGGCGGAAUUCGUGGUGUAGCGGUGAAAUGCUUAGAUAUCACGAAGAACUCCGAUUGCGAAGGCAGCCUACUAAACUGCCACUGACAUUGAUGCUCGAAAGUGUGGGUAUCGAACAGGAUUAGAUACCCCUGUAGUC